CAGGCAUUUAAUUAAGUUUCACUGUGUUUGCUUUGGCUCUCACAGCAUGGAAAAUCUCCUUUUAACAAGCAUCCCCUGAGCGUGGGCUCUGAUCAAGCCAAGCUGCCUGGAUGCAAUCCCUUCUCCCAGCAGUUCCCUUUCCCCUUCCAAACCCUCUGAGCUGCUCCCAGCCCUUCCAGCAGCACAAAAACCCCCCUCUGAGCAGGCAGCAGGAGCUCAGCCCUGCUCAGCAUCGUGGCUGCUGCCCACUCCUCCCCUGCACCCCCGCCUGACUCACAAACUUCCCACUCCAAAUUAACACCCAUUAGGGCUUUAUUUCCAUCACGCUCCUCCCACGCAGCCACAGCACAGCUCUGCCUGCAAAGCAGGGAUGGAGCCGUGCUUUGGGGCUCAGUUUAGCCCAGAUUUGUUUCCUAGAGGGAUGUUGCCCUCAUGAGAGCUGAGAGCAGCUUUUUUGGGGUGGGGGGUGGGAGCACAGCAGCUGCCCCUGAGGAGCUGCUCACUCCUGGGAUGGGUUGUUUCAUCCAGCAAGUCCACAGAACUUCAGUCCUAAGGAGGAAAAGGAAAACACCUCAGGAGCCACCAGUGGAGUGAGCCUGGGUGGAAGGACGGGCUCCAGCUGUCCCCCGUGGACCCCCAAGAGACUUCCAGCCCCCUCUGAAGGGCUGUUUGCUGCCAUCAAUCCUGGAGGAGCCCGUGGGGGCCAGCGGAGGAGUGACACCGGAGAUUUGUCCUAUGGAUUAACCCGGGAUGGGAGGAAUCCAACACCAGGAGCAGACAAACGCCUGGGAGGAGAGCAGGGCAAUUGUCAGCUUUGCUUUGCAGGUUACUGGGUUUGGAAGAUCUCAUUCUUCUUUUCCUACCUGGAGGCUGAGAGAAAGCAGUAAAACUUUCCCAAAUUCCUCCUCGUUUGCCUGUUUGAAGUUCCUCAGUUAACACCACACGCCAGAGAGAAAAACCCCCCUCAGAAUCCC
rnacentral:lncRNA from 12 species